CAGCAGCCACGGUAAUACGAAGGGGGCUAGCGUUGUUCGGAUUUACCGGGCGUAAAGGGCGCGUAGGCGGACUGAUAAGUCAGGGGUGAAAUCCUAAGGCUCAACCUUGGAACUGCCUUUGAUACUGUUUGUCUUGAGUUCGAGAGAGGUAAGUGGAACUGCGAGUGUAGAGGUGAAAUUCGUAGAUAUUCGCAAGAACACCAGUGGCGAAGGCGGCUUACUGGCUCGAAACUGACGCUGAGGCGCGAAAGCGUGGGGAGCAAACAGGAUUAGAUACCCCGGUAGUCCCUGUCUCUUAUAC
rnacentral:rRNA from 1 species